UGAAUACGAGAUGCUACGGCAUUGAAGCAGUGUAUGUCAGACUUCCAAGAAAAGCUCGCAAUGUCAUAAACAAUAAAUGCCUGUACCAUAACCGACACAGGUGGGUAGGUAGAGUAUACUAAGGGGCGCGAGAUAACUCUCUCUAAGGAACUCGGCAAAAUGACUCCGUAACUUCGGGAGAAGGAGUGCCUUAUUUUAUAAGGUUGCAAUAACAAGAUCCAAGCAACUGUUUACCAAAAACACAGGUCUCCGCUAAGUCGAAAGACGAUGUAUGGGGGCUGACGCCUGCCCAGUGCCAGAAGGUUAAAGAAGUUGGUUAGCUUCGGCGAAGCUGAUGACUGAAGCCCUGGUGAACGGCGGCCGUAACUAUAACGGUCCUAAGGUAGCGAAAUUCCUUGUCGGGUAAGUUCCGACCCGCACGAAAGGCGUAAUGAUUUGGAUACUGUCUCGGAGAGGGGCUCGGUGAAAUAGACUUGUCUGUGAAGAUGCGGACUACCUGCACCUGGACAGAAAGACCCUAUGAAGCUUUACUGUAACUUGAGAUUGAAAUUGGACUUUAUUUGCGCAGUAUAGGUGGGAGACGUUGAGAAUAUUCUUGCGGGAAUAUUGGAGUCAUCAGUGAGAUACCACUCUUGUAAUGUUAGAUUUCUAACUUUGUAUCAUUAUCUGGUCAAAGGACAGUUUCAGGCGGGCAGUUUGACUGGGGCGGUCGCCUCCUAAACGGUAACGGAGGCGCACAAAGGUUUCCUCUGAACGUGUAGAAAUCGUAUCUAGAGUGUAAAGGCAUAAGGAAGCUUGACUGUGAGACCUACAAGUCGAGCAGGGACGAAAGUCGGUCUUAGUGAUCUGACGGUGCUGAGUGGAAAGGCCGUCACUCAACGGAUAAAAGUUACUCUAAGGAUAACAGGCUGAUCUCCCCCAAGAGUUCACAUCGACGGGGAGGUUUGGCACCUCGAUGUCGGCUCAUCGCAUCCUGGGGCGGUAGUACGUCCCAAGGGUUGGGCUGUUCGCCCAUGAAAGCGGUACGCGAGCUGGGUUCAGAACGUCGUGAGACAGUUCGGUCCAUAUCCGGUGUAGGCGUUAGAAUAUUGAGAGGAGCCUUCUUUAGUACGAGAGGACCGAGAAGGACAUACCUCUGGUGUACCAGUUAUCGUGCCAACGGUAAACGCUGGGUAGCUAUGUAUGGAGUGGAUAACCGCUGAAAGCAUCUAAGUGGGAAGCCCACCUCAAGAUAAG
rnacentral:rRNA from 1 species